rnacentral:rRNA from 1 species
AUUGAACGCUGGCGGCAGGCCUAACACAUGCAAGUCGAGCGGAUGAAGGGAGCUUGCUCCUGGAUUCAGCGGCGGACGGGCGAGUAAAGCCUAGGAAUCUGCCUGGUAGUGGGGGAUAACGUCCGGAAACGGGCGCUAAUACCGCAUACGUCCUGAGGGAGAAAGUGGGGGAUCUUCGGACCUCCCGCUAUCAGAUGAGCCUAGGUCGGAUUAGCUAGUUGGUGGGGUAAAGGCCUACCAAGGCGACGAUCCGUAACUGGUCUGAGAGGAUGAUCAGUCACACUGGAACUGAGACACGGUCCAGACUCCUACGGGAGGCAGCAGUGGGGAAUAUUGGACAAUGGGCGAAAGCCUGAUCCAGCCAUGCCGCGUGUGUGAAGAAGGUCUUCGGAUUGUAAAGCACUUUUAGUUGGGAGGAAGAGCAGUAAGUUAAUACCUUGCUGUUUUGACGGUACCAAAAGAAUAAGCACCGGCUAACUUCGUG